UACCAUGGACUGGACUCCUCUCCUCCUCAUGCUCCUGUCUCACUGCACAGGCUCCCUGUCCCAGCCUGUGCUGACCCAGCCGCCCUCCUUGUCUGCAUCUCCGGGAACAACAGCCAGACUCACCUGCACCCUGAGCAGCGGCUUCAAUGUUGGAGGCUACUACAUAAAUUGGUUCCAGCAGAAGCCAGGGAGCCCUCCCCGGUAUCUCCUGUACUACUACUCAGACUCAGAUAAGCACCAGGGCCCCGGGGUCCCCAGCCGCUUCUCCGGGUCCAAAGAUGCCUCGGCCAAUGCGGGGCUUCUGUUCAUCUCUGGGCCACAGCCUGAGGACGAGGCUGACUAUUACUGUGCUACAUAUCAUGGCAGUUGUUGGGUGUUCGGCGGAGGUACCCAGCUGAGCGUCCUAGGUCAGCCCAAGUCAGCCCCCUCGGUCGCACUCUUCCCACCUUCCAAUGAGGAGCUCAGCGCCAACAAGGCCACCCUGGUGUGCCUCAUCAGUGACUUCUACCCCAGCGGCUUGACGGUGGCCUGGAAGGCAGAUGGCACCCCCAUCACCCAGGGCGUGGAGACCACCAAGCCCUCCAAACAGAGCAACAACAAGUACGCGGCCAGCAGCUACCUGAGCCUGUCACCGAACCAGUGGAAAUCUCGCAGCAGAUUCACCUGCCAGGUCACACAUGAGGGGAGCACCGUGGAGAAAAAUGUGGUCCCUGCAGAGUGCUCUUAGGUCAAGGGACCCCCACCUACCCCAGGGGGUGUGCAGCCAUUGGACCUACAGGAAGGAUUCCCCUUGCACCAGGAUCAUCCCAGCCCUUCUCCCUUCAAUCAAUGCUCAAUAAAAUGUCCUUUAUUCAAUCAGAAA